rnacentral:misc_RNA from 2 species
AACGCACAUUGCGCUCCCUGGUAUUCCGGGGAGCAUGCCUGUUCGAGCGUCAUUAUCAACCAUCAAGCCCUGCUUGGUAUUGGGCGUCGUCCUUCCGGACGUGCCUUAAACGCUUCGGCGGCGGUUUCAAACCUCAAGCGUAGUAAACUUUUUAUCAGCUUUUUAGGGUUGGAGCCGUUGUGCCACGAGAACCUCUCAUCUCAAGGUUGACCUCGGAUCAGGUAGGGAUACCCGCUGAACUUAA